AUGGACAGGCUUAUUUCCUCAUUCCUGCUGCUGAUUGUUCCUGCAUAUGUCCUUUCCCAGGUUACCCUGAAGAAUUCUGGUCCUGGGCUGUUGCAGCCCUCCCAGACUCUCAGUCUGACCUGCACAUUGUCUGGGUUUUCACUGAGUACUUAUGGCAUAGGUGUGGGCUGGAUCCGUCAGUCCUCAGGGAAGGGUUUGGAAUGGCUGGCAGACAUUUGGUGGAAUGAUGAGAAGUACUACAACCCAUCCUUGAAGAGCCAGCUCACAAUCUCCAAGGACACCUCCAACAAGCAGGUAUUCCUCAAGAUCACCAGUGUCGACACUGCAGAUACUGCCACAUACUACUGUGCUAGGAGAGCAUUUGGAGCACAGAGACACAGCCUAGGCUGA